rnacentral:rRNA from 1 species
CCUACGGGAGGCAGCAGUGGGGAAUAUUGGGCAAUGGUCGCAAGCCUGACCCAGCCACGCCGCGUGCAGGAAGAAGGCUUUCGGGUUGUAAACUUCUUUUAAUAGGGAAGAACAGAAGCCGGUACCUCUUGAAUACGACACAGCUAACUACGUGCCAGCAGCCACGUUAAUACCUCGGUGGCCGGCGUUGUCCGGAUUUACUGGGUGUAAAGGGCGUGUAGCCGGGCUGACAAGUCAGAUGUGAACUUCCGGGGCUCAACCCCGGACCUGCAUCUGAAACUGUUGGUCUUGAGUAUGGGAGAGGCAGGCGGAAUUCGUAGUGUAGCGGUGAAAUGCGUAGAUAUUAGGAGGAACACCAGUGGCGAAGGCGGCCUGCUGGACGACAACUGACGGUGAGGCGCGAAAGCGUGGGGAGCAAACAGGAUUAGAUACCCCAGUAGUC